UACGGUUAAGGUCCCGAGAGGAUUCGAAAUUCGAAGAUGCCUUGUAACCGAUUUUUUAAAGGGGGACUUCUAUUAUG
rnacentral:sRNA from 20 species